AUGGGUUUCCGUGAUAUCCACUGUUUCAACCUGGCUCUGCUUGCCAAACAGGCAUGGUGUCUCCUUGAUAACCCUGAAUCCUUGUGUGCCACUGUUCUAAGGGCCAAGUACUAUCCUGAUGGCGACUUGUUGAAUUCCAAACCAAAGCAUGGUGCUUCCUUCACCUGGCAAAGCAUCAUGGCAGGCAUAACUAUCCUAAAACGUGGCUAUAUUUGGCGAGUGAGGAAUGGACAUAAUAUCAAUAUCUGGGAAGAUGCCUGGAUCCCAAAUUGUGCCACUAGGAAGAUUGUGACUCCUAAGGGGGGACAAUUGUUGUCAAAAGUGGUGGAUUUGAUUGACCCCAUCUCCAAUAAUUGGGAUGAGGACCUGAUUAGACAAACUAUGUGGCCCAUUGACGCAGAACGGUUUCUUUCAAUCCCAAUUUCGCAACAUAAUAUGACAGAUUUCAUUGCUUGGAGUUAUACAAAAAAUGGUAUGUACGGUCUGCUUACUCUAUGGAGUGGAACUAUCAGUAUUGGAGUCAACUAA
rnacentral:rRNA from 1 species